GAUGAACGCUGGCGGCGUGCUUAACACAUGCAAGUCGAACGAGAAGUGAAGACGGAAACCUUCGGGCGGAAGGCUUUAUUUCGAGUGGCGGACGGGUGAGUAACGCGUGGGUAACCUGCCUCAUACAGGGGGAUAACAGUUGGAAACGACUGUUAAUACCGCAUAAGACCACAGCACCGCAUGGUGCGGGGGUAAAAACUCCGGUGGUAUGAGAUGGACCCGCGUUCGAUUAGCCAGUUGGCGGGGUAACGGCCCACCAACGCGACGAUCGAUAGCCGAUCUGAGAGGAUGACCGGCCACAUUGGGACUGAGACACAGACCAAACUCGUACGGGAGGCAGCAGUGGGGAAUAUUGCACAAUGGGGGAAACCCUGAUGCAGCGACGCGGCGUGAGUGAAGAAGUAUUUCGGUAUGUAAAGCUCUAUCAGCAGGGAAGAAAAUGACGGUACCUGAGAAAGAAGCCCCGGCUAACUACGUG
rnacentral:rRNA from 1 species